AAAUUGAAGAGUUUGAUCAUGGCUCAGAUUGAACGCUGGCGGCAGGCCUAACACAUGCAAGUCGAACGGUAACAGGAAGCAGCUUGCUGCUUUGCUGACGAGUGGCGGACGGGUGAGUAAUGUCUGGGAAACUGCCUGAUGGAGGGGGAUAACUACUGGAAACGGUGGCUAAUACCGCAUAAUGUCGCAAGACCAAAGAGGGGGACCUUCGGG
rnacentral:rRNA from 1 species